AUCCUCCAUCCUAUAGUGUAGUUGGAUAUCACGUUCGGCUGUGAUGGACACAUUGUUACCGAAAGCUCACCGACUCGAUUCCGGUUUGGGAUA